GUCCUCGUAAUACCACUGCCCACUAUGUAGUGCCUUGCAAUCAAUCUCUGCUAAAACUACCUAAUGUGGCUUCUGUGCUCUGCAACCGAACCUCCAUCAAAACUGCUCAAAAGAUGUGUGCUGACUCUCUAUGACUUAGCUUUUGGUGCACCUUGAUAUGGGGCUGCCGGAUGCCUCCACUGAAGCUUUUGCCCAGCCCUCAUUCUUGCCACAUCCUUGCUACAGAAAAUGAUGGUUGCAUUUAAUGAGGAAAUGCUGUCAGCAGAAAGGAGAGGAAGCCUCACCCUGACCCCCCCAGGACCCCACAGCCUGAGAGACAAGAACGUUCUCAUUCAGUCCUUGAAAGGCGACUCUAUCUACUCAUGUGGACUCGAGUAGGAAGUGCAAAGAGGAUUAUUCUCAUUGCAUACUUUAUGCAGCUGAUGUCCUGCAGAAAGCUCUGGAAAGAGAAAACAAACUGUCUCCACACAAUAAAAACGACCGAUAAGUAACACUGACAGCUUGCUGAACCAAAUAUAUCCCACUCAUCUGGCCCUCACACCUGUCUCC
rnacentral:lncRNA from 1 species